UGUUGGAACAAAACGACGGGGAAACACCGAUAACAAAUGUGCUCGAGUUGUUUAACGAUCUGUACCACAGAUUCCGAUUGACAACUAAACCAACUAUGAAAGCAAUGUGCCUUCAGGCGAUGACUAAAGUUUAUGGAAAAUGUUAGGAAGAGAUUGGCGCUUUUAAUGAUACCAAGCUAAGGAUCAUCUGUUAUUGAUCCAGUGUUACUACAGGAGCCUGAACUAAACUAACUUUAUUCAUACUGUUUCGUAUUUUUUGCACUUACAUGAAAAUGGCAUCACCCACAGGGAUUGGAAGCCAGAAAAUGUUUUAUUGUGUGCCUCGGAUGACGAAACUCUUAUAAAGGUUUGUGUCGCUUGUGUAUUGAACUUAAUCUCAAUUCCGAGUUUUGUCCGUGAUUUCGUUUCACGAAAGCAGAGCGCAUUCUGCGAACGUUUUUUGCGUUCAUGGUGAAGACUAGCCGACGGUCACGUUCGACAGACGUGUCUCUGCGAGCAAAUAAAAUACUCAGUUGCGUAGCUAACACGACAAUUUAGUCAUGCUCUGCUAAUAUUUUGGAGUUCAUUCACUGUGAAAACAAUGGAUUUCUAAAGAAAUUAAUAUGAUAAUAACAUAAAAUUUGCAUAGCAUGGCUGAAAAUGCUUGCUGUAAGAUCACAUCGAAGGAAUAUGCAUCCUCAUUGACACACGUGGUGGGUUAAAAACGCGCUAGUUCUUCCGAUAAAUUAAAGAACAGUUCCAUACCUAUACUUUUGUACGUGUAAAACUUUUCGCUUGAUUUUCUUUUAAAUGCGAAAAUCCGACCGUGCAGC